AAAAACACAGGGACACAGGCAAGAGAGACGAGACAGGCGCUAACUUUCAACUGACGGAGAGGCAGAGUCUUGAAGGCCAGGUUGCUCGAUUGAAACAAGCAGGUUUCCCGUCCUCGUCAUUGCUCGCAACGUGCGAGAAAGCAGUAAAGUAUUUUAAAUCGCCAAAUGAAUCGAAAAAAGCAUGUGAACCAGAAAAGAUGAAAAUGGCUGUCAUUCCAUAUGUCCAUACCUUCUCGCAUCGCUUAAAAAAGAUUGGCAGAAAAUACAAUGUGAAGGUAAUAUGUUCCGCUAAAAGCAAACUUAGCCGUGUGUGCCCAGCGGUUGAGCGUAUGUACAACAAAGGAAGUGCUGACUUGGCUGGGAAAUGUGACAUGCGCCAUACCAUGAAGUUUGUAGAAUGCAAUAAGAAGGGUGUUGUUUACCAAUUACCAAUGUCAUGUGGUCGCACGUAUGUUGGGCAAUCUGGACGGUGCGUAAACGUUCGCCUUCGUGAACACCAUUCUUCGUUGA
rnacentral:lncRNA from 1 species